rnacentral:misc_RNA from 1 species
CAGGCACUGUCCAUUUAUUUAUCUACAUGAAAGUCCACCAAAAUUAAGAAAUUUUUACAACAAUAAUACUAUUCAGCAAAUUGGACACUGCAACUAAUAAAAUUUUCUCUUUUGGAAUGACAAUUAUUAAAAUUAGUUAAUAAGCUUAAACAGUCUAUAAUGUCUAACAUCAUAGCAAAGCAUUCGCAUAAUACAAACAGAAAACCAG